rnacentral:rRNA from 1 species
AGUGAACGCUGGCGGUAGGCCUAACACAUGCAAGUCGAACGGCAGCACAGUAAGAGCUUGCUCUUACGGGUGGCGAGUGGCGGACGGGUGAGGAAUACAUCGGAAUCUACUUUUUCGUGGGGGAUAACGUAGGGAAACUUACGCUAAUACCGCAUACGACCUACGGGUGAAAGCAGGGGAUCUUCGGACCUUGCGCGAUUGAAUGAGCCGAUGUCGGAUUAGCUAGUUGGCGGGGUAAAGGCCCACCAAGGCGACGAUCCGUAGCUGGUAUGAGAGGAUGACCGGCCACAGGGGAACAGAGACGCGGUCCAGACCCAGACGGAAGGCAGCAGUAGGGAAUGUUCCGCAAGGGGCGAAAGCCUGACGUAGCUACGCCGCGUGAGUGAAGAAGGGCGUCGGAUCGGAAAACUCUGUGAUGAGGGAAGAACAUAAGUGUAAGGAACUGUGCACAUCUUGACGGUACCUAAUCAGAAAGCCACGGCGAACGACGUG